UGGCUCUCCUAAAAGUUGCUAAAUGACGUAAUCGCCUAAUUUGCAUAGUUGACCAUGUGAAUGUAAUUGUGAUGGUCGCUGUAGGAGAGAGAAAUAACAUCGUGGGAGAGACAAAAACUCAAAUGGGGAGGCCACAAUCAGCCUGGUACCAGCAACACAACCAGAGAAGGAAGUCAAGCAGGAUGUCAAUGAUGCUGUGCUUCAGGAGUGAGUUGCUGAGGUGCAGCAGUGGCCUGAAGCAGGAGAGGUAAAAUGCCGCCACCACCUGCUUCAGGAGCAGCCUGGUCUCCUGAGGUUGACACCUGACCCCUCACCUCUGAACCUAUCCAGGGAAAUAUGAUUUGCCUGAUGACACUCUAGUUGAAAUUUCGGCACAUUUGUUGCCAUGUUUCCUCACCUCCAUUUCUUCCGGUCCUAGACUAUGGCGACAUCAUCAUCAAUUCAGAAAUUGAUCUGAGGACCUCUUUACUGAGGAAUGUGGUUGUUCUACAUGAUUGUUUGUAUUUUCUAUGCUGCUGUGAUUUAUGUGUAAUUGUGAGUUGCAAAAGAGUCUUUGGUCUCAAUGGGCCUGGUAAAAUAAAUGAAGUAAAGGUCUUAAUAAACAUUCAUUAAGCACUAACA